rnacentral:sRNA from 1 species
CAUAAAUAUUAUAAUGCCUAAAAUGACUCAUCUCAGUGGUGACUGUAGGCUCAGAUUUAUUGUACAGUUCAUCAACUUCCCAGCAUGUAGAAUAAUGAAUGCUUCGUUUACAUUGCUAAUUGCUGAACCAUGGUUACUGCCACCUUCAGCCCUUUCAUUUCGCAGUGUUUGCCCUGUAUAUCAGUCAGUGUUUCAAAAUGUAGUUAAAUAUCUUAAGCAACUUCUUUCUUUCAAGCAUUUAG